GGUGAACCAAAGCGAGCACAGCCGUAUCCCUGCCACGGGUCAUCAGCGAAGUUGGCCAAGGAAGAUGGGGAACAAAGAGCCUGGGAUCAAGGCCACGCCACGUUUCCGCGUGUGCGGUCCGCAGCCUCUUCACAGUCGAAUAACGAUCUGAGCGAAGGUGCAGGCUCCAGAGAAGCUGCAGAAGCGAAAAAAAGCAAAAAGACGCGGCUGACCUUAGGGACCGAGAUGGUAGCGGCUGGUUCCAGGCAGCAAGAUGGAGGAAGGGACAAGGAAGAGAGCAAAGCUACUCACCUGACACUGGACACUUCUGCUCACAUCCUGUUGGCCAGAACUUAGUCACAGGACCUGACCUAAACUACAAAGAAGCCUUGAAAAUUAGUCUUUUCUUUCCGGGUGAAAAUGUUCAGCCCCAGCUGCAAAUUCUAUUAUGUGGAAAAAAGAGAGACAGGAUCUUGAGGAACAACUAGAAGUUUCUACCAACACAAAAUCGUCUUUCUGGAUUUAGCCUAAAGGUUCAUGUGGAUAAAGAAAAGAUCCAUUUAUUCAUUCAUUCAAUGACUCACUUAGUUGUUUAACUCAACAGAUAUUUAUUGAGUACCUACUAUGUGCUAGGCACUGUUCUGUGGGCUGAGCUAUACUCGUGAGUUAAACAGGGUUCCCUGCCCUCAUGAAGCCUAUUACAUCCUAGCAGGGAAGAAAGACAACAAGUAAUAAAGAUAAGGAAUUAAAGGACA
rnacentral:lncRNA from 1 species